GGCCACAGGGAUUUUUGGUGACCCCGAAAUUUUGGUGCCCCCCCCCUGACCCCCCUGUUUUGGCCCCCCAGGCAGCAAUUUCGGGGGCGGGGGCAGCUACAACGACUUCGGCAGCUACAACAACCAGGCCUCCAGCUUCGGGCCCAUGAAGGGCGGCAGCUUCGGGGGGCGCAGCUCGGGGCCCUACGGGGGAGGUGGUUACGGGAGCUCCAGCGGCGGCAGCUACGGAGGAGGGAGGAGGUUUUAAUGUCCAGGACCCGGAGCUGGGCGGGAGCGGGGCCGGGGAUGGAGCCCCCCGGGACCCCCCUGGAGCCCCCCCGGGGCCCCCCCCGGAGCCCCCCCCGGCCCCCCCGGGGGGCAGUUUGUGGUCGCCGUGUCCAGGUCCCUGUAGUUCCGUGCGGAGCCUCCCGAUCCCGCCGGGAUCCAGCCCGGGUUUCUCCUCCCGCCGUGUCUCCUGUACCACCCUGACCUCCCCCCGCCCCCCCCCCCCGAUGCUCAAUAAAUGUCUCUCUUUGGGUUUUUUUUUUUAAAUUAUUAUUAUUUUUUAAUAUUAUUUUUUAAAAUUAGUUUUUUCUUUGCCGGGCGCUCGUUUCCCUCCCCCCUGUUUCACACGCUCCUCAUUGGGCACCUCAGCUGUCAAUCACGGCCUGGCUCCUCCCCUUCGCCCCCCCCCAGUGUCCCCAAAGUGUCCCCAAAGUGUCCCCAAGGCUUUGACCCCCCCCCAGUCCCCACUAAUUCCCACCUUCCCUUUGUAGGAGCCACCGGCACCGGGAUUGGAGCCCGCGGAGGUGAGGGGGGGUUGGACACGGGAUGGGGGGACACGGGGGGGACACGGGGGGGACACGGGGACACCCCAGGGCAGGGCCAUCCCCCCCCACCCCGGAGCUGUCCCAGCCCCCCCAGCGCCCGCGGGACCCCCCCGGUGCCCUCAAUAAAAGGGUAUUUUUGUA